AUGCAACAGGCACAAGGUGGCUCAUCAAACCCUGUCUUCACACCAUCAAGCUACACCAACCACCCAGUCAGAGCAACACAAGACUGUCCAUCUUUCGAUCUUAACAUAAGUUUUCAUGAAGAUGAGGGCACCAACAGAGGCCAAUCCACAGAACUGAAGCCACGCAACCUAGAUGCCUGCAUGUCAGAAAGCGGAGAUGAAUGGGGCUUGGAUCCGGAGGAGCUACAAAAAGUGUGCUAUGAGGCAGAAAAGGCAUUUGCAUUGAAGAAAGAAAAGGAAGAGGAGAGGCUAAGAAAUGGAGGAGAGGCUAAGAAAUGGAAGGCAAAUCAACGAUCAAAAUUCAAAAACACCAGUCACAGCAACCACAAACACAGAAAACGUCGCUAG
rnacentral:rRNA from 1 species